rnacentral:rRNA from 1 species
GUCUAAGGCCAUAUCACCCUGAACAUGCCCAAUCUCAUCUGGUCUUGGAAGCAAAGCAGGGUUGGGCCUGGUUAGUAAUUGAAUGGGAGACAGAUCUUCAGAAGAGACUGCUGAGAGACA